ACUCUAAUAGUUUACAGAAAACAUUGGUCUUGUAAGCCAAAAGACGAAGGUUGCUCCUUCUUAGAGUC
rnacentral:tRNA from 1 species